UCCCUGGUGGUCCAGUGGCUAAGGCUCUAUGCUUCUAAUGCAGAAGGCCAGGUUUGAUCUCUGGUCAGGGAA
rnacentral:tRNA from 1 species